rnacentral:rRNA from 1 species
UACAGAGGUCUCAAGCGUUGUUCGGAUUCAUUGAGCGUAAAGGGUGCGUAGGCGGCGCGGUAAGUCGGGUGUGAAAUCUUGGAGCUUAACUCCGAAACUGCAUUCGAUACUGCCGUGCUUGAGGACUGGAGAGGAGACUGGAAUUUACGGUGUAGCGGUGAAAUGCGUAGAUAUCGUAAGGAAGACCAGUGGCGAAGGCGGGUCUCUGGACAGUUCCUGACGCUGAGGCACGAAGGUCAGGGGAGCAAACGGG